AGUGAACGCUGGCGGUAGGCCUAACACAUGCCAGUCGAACGGCAGCACAGUAAGAGCUUGCUCUUACGGGUGGCGAGUGGCGGACGGGUGAGGAAUACAUCGGAAUCUACUUUUUCGUGGGGGAUAACGUAGGGAAACUUACGCUAAUACCGCAGACGACCUACGGGUGAAAGCAGGGGAUCUUCGGACCUUGCGCGAUUGAAGGAGCCGAUGUCGGAUUAGCUAGUUGGCGGGGUAAAGGCCCACCAAGGCGACGAUCCGUAGCUGGUCUGAGAGGAUGAUCAGCCACACUGGAACUGAGACACGGUCCAGACUCCUACGGGAGGCAGCAGUGGGGAAUAUUGGACAAUGGGCGCAAGCCUGAUCCAGCCAUACCGCGUGGGUGAAGAAGGCCUUCGGGUUGUAAAGCCCUUUUGUUGGGAAAGAAAAGCAGCAGGUUAAUACCCCGCUGUUCUGACGGUACCCAAAGAAUAAGCACCGGCUAACUUCGUG
rnacentral:rRNA from 1 species